rnacentral:lncRNA from 1 species
CUAAGUUCUACUAGUUAUAUUGCGAAAUACCGACUUAUACUGAAUCCAGAUCUGAAGAUAAAAUGAAUAAAAACAUGAGAAUGAGAACAAUAAGAACCAUAAAUUAUUAAAAACUCAUAUCUAUAUAGAACAUGAAAAAUCUUAAUCAUAAAAAAUCCUGAAUCUUCUUUUACAAUCCUAAAUAAAAAACUCAGAACAAUAAAAACUUAUAUCAGAGGAACAGAUCUGAAGUAUGGAAAGAAGGAGAUCUGAAGUGUGGGAAGAAGGAGAUCUGAAGUUCAUACGUUGAGCCUUGUCGUUUUGAACGGAUCUAGAAGAAGAAAAAUCGUCAUUGAUUUUGUCUCUAUCAACUCCAACUAUUUUUUUUAUCAUCUACCGCAUAUCUCUUUCACUGUUUACAGAGAAAACAGAAGAAAAUCGCAGAGAAGAUAGAAGAUAACAGAAAGAGUAGCCGAGAAGAUAAGAGAAAAAUGAACUGUUGACGCAAAGAAGAAAGAAAGAAAAGGAAAAAAAAAUAAGAAAAAAAAAACAGAAUCAAUUGAUAUUUAAAUAUUAGGGUUAAGGGUACUACAGUAAUUAGUUUAAUAUUCGCAUUAAAAAUAAUUCAGAAAGAAAUUGAUUUUAGAUGAAGUCUUGUAGAGACUGUUGUUUCACAUUUGGGGGUAUGAGAAGAGAUGAUUCAAGACACACUCUCUCUGUCUAUUGCUAAAUAAGCGAGUUUUCUUAUCUCGAGCACUAUCAUGCUACAUAUUACACAAUGCCAUAAUAAGUUUGUUAUUUUCAAUUUUCCCUAACAAAAUUAACACUAAUCACUGGGCACAAAUGCUUGUUCGACUUAUAUCUCUUAUAUGUUAUUUACUUGUCUCGACUUUUCAAAUACUCAUUUUUUUUAAGUCCAAUAUCAAAUCCUUGAGUUUUGCUACUUGCAAAUACAAUACAAGUAACAACAGUAAAGAAAAAGUUAGUGAUUCAACUUUUUAAAUUAGAACAAAACUUAAGUUCAUCCUCUAAAGUGAAUGGUUAAAUUCAAUUCACAUUUCAUAGUCAACUAAAAUGUCAUGUAGAAUUAGUUUUAAAAGUAAUAAAAUUAAAAAAUAAAUGGCUGAAAAAAACCAACACGAACGUCUGCAAAAUCUGAAACUCUAAAAAUCUAAAAUCUAAACCCUAAACCUAAAACAUAAACUUUAAACCCCAAAUCCUAAACCCUAAAAUCUAAAUUCUAAAUUCUAAAUCCAAAAUCCUAAACCCAAAACACUAAAACAUAAACCCUAAAUCUUAAACUUUAACUCUAAAUCCUAACUCUUACAACAAGAACACCACUCAAAUUUU